UCCAUGGCAGCCAUGAUCUAACUAACUUGAAACAGGAAAGGAGUACCGGAAUUGUCACGUUAGAUAUCUACAUCGUGUUUAGAUUUUCCUUUAUUGUUUACACAGAGGAGGUGAAUGAUACACUCGCACUGGAAUUCAUGGAUAAGUGUCAAUAAUGUGAUUGCAUCUUCGGUCAAAGCGACCGGGUCUCGAGUUGCUGGACAGGAAUUUCACAUCGCAAGUCAAGCGCCAAAUGUGAUGAGCUGCGAUUAAUGUCAAAUGGUGGAACUUCUUUUAGCCCUGGCGUUGCUGCCAAUAUGUGUUGUUAAAUGGCGAAAUAUGUCAUUUGGUUAAAUGACAUUUAUUACAUCAUCAAAGCUGAAAUGUGUAAAUGAGACACAGUACGAAAGUGUCGGUGAUUUGGGGGCGGUUUGAUGUUGACAGAGUUGACAGUUAAUCUCAACUCAAGUGAUUACCGUCCCUCAGCUGAAUAUACGUGCAUCUGUUGAAAUUAAAUUUUAAUCGCCUGUAGGAUCAGACUUGUGAAGAUCCCAAGAUGGUGAUGUCAGAUACAGAUUACAAGCGGCGGCUAGCCAGCCUUGAAGAAAAGAUGAGAAAUCCAAAUUCAGAGAUAAAUGUAGAUGGUUUGCUGGACAGUAUAACAGCUCUGGUGGCCGAUCUGGAUCAUACAGCCAUCAGGAGGAAUAAGAAUGUGGAACAUUUCCUCCUCCGAUAUACCAAAACUGUAGACUUACUAAAGAAACUUCGUAUGAAAGCAGACGAUUUUGAUGUGAUCAAGGUUAUAGGCCGUGGUGCCUUUGGCGAAGUACAGUUGGUGCGACAUAAAAAGGCUAAGAAGGUGUAUGCAAUGAAGUUGCUCAGUAAAUAUGAAAUGUUGAAGAGAUCCGACUCAGCUUUCUUUUGGGAGGAACGUGAAAUUAUGGCUAAUGCCAACAGCGAGUGGAUUGUCCAGCUUCACUAUGCAUUCCAAGAUGGCCGCUUCCUGUACAUGGUGAUGGACUACAUGCCCGGGGGUGACCUGGUCAACCUCAUGAGUAACUAUGAUGUACCCGAGAAGUGGGCCAAGUUCUACUGUGCUGAAGUGGUCCUGUCCCUAGAUGCUAUCCACUCCAUGGGAUUCGUACACAGGGAUGUGAAGCCAGACAACAUGUUGCUGGAUGGUGCUGGUCACCUCAAACUGGCUGACUUUGGCACCUGUAUGAGGAUGGAUGCGGACGGUCUGGUUCGGUCGGACACAGCGGUAGGGACACCGGACUACAUCUCCCCGGAGGUGCUCAAGUCACAGGGUGGGGAGGGGCUGUACGGCCGCGAGUGUGACUGGUGGUCAGUCGGAGUCUUCCUCUAUGAGAUGCUUGUUGGUGACACACCUUUCUACGCUGACUCCCUUGUGGGCACAUAUGGCAAGAUCAUGGACCAUGCCCGAUCUCUGCAGUUCCCCCCUGAUGUGGACAUGUCAGACCAAGCUAAGAGUAUUAUAUGUGCCUUCCUAACUGAUAGAACAGAGCGGCUAGGACGAAAUGGUGUAGAUGAAAUCAAAAGACACCCCUUCUUUAGAGACGAGAACUGCACAUGGGACAGUAUGAGAAAAAGUGCCCCGCCCGUUGUACCGGAGCUGUCAAGUGACAUAGACACCAGCAACUUUGAUGACAUUGAGAAGGAGGACACACCACAAGAAAACUUCCAGCCACUAAAAGCAUUUGCUGGCAACCAUCUGCCCUUUAUAGGAUUUACAUAUAACAAAGAAUACCAAUUGCUGUGCUCAGGAACAUCACCUCCAGAUUGUGUUGAUUCUGCCGCUAUUGUUCCGGGGAGCAGCAGUGGUGGUGGAGAUGACAGUUCUCGGCACCUGGAGAACCAAGUUAAACAGCUCGUGGCGUCCAAGGAUGACAUUGAGAAAAAAUAUAGGAAUGCUGUGGAGGAUCUGAACCGGGCGUCUCAGGAGGAGUCCAUGGCCAAGAAGGAUCUGACGCAGAUGGAGAGGGCGAUGGCGAUGGUCAAACACGACAUGAAGGAGCUUCAGAGGAAACUGGAAAUGGAGGCCGAGGCGAAGUUAAAGGCUGAGAAUCUGAUGAGGGAGCAAUCCAAGAAGCUGGAGCAUGAGCUGACUUACCGUGCCCAGAUGACGUCCAGCAGCAUGCAGAACAACGAGAAAGUGGCCAGUCUGGAGAGAACAGUUGGAGACCUGAGUGAUAAGUUGCGAGCAGAAACCGAAAACACAAACAAGGUCAAGAGAACGUACAGCGAGUUACAACAGCGCUACACGGUGACAGAGCAGGGCUACACAGACCUCAACAACAAGUACAUGGAGGUGGUCAAUGCCAGGCAGAACAUGGAGCGGGAACUGGUGGCUCUCCAGGCAGCCUUGGACCAGGAACGUAACAACCGCAACCACGAGUCAGAACACACCAUGGAACUCAAUGAUCGGAUCCGAGGGCUGCAGAACGAGAAGGACAGGAUGAUGGACAAGGAGCGUAUGAAUGGUCAAGAGCUGCAGAAAAAGCAGAGCAUUGUUGUGCAAUUAGAAAAGAGGGUGGCCAAUGUGGAACUUGAGAGAGACAACUUCUACCGCAAACUGGAGGGAGAGAUCCAGUCUCACAAGGAGACGGUGGCUCGCUACAAUGCAGACAAGAAGAAUAUCCUCAUGUCCACAGAGGAAGCCAACAUGGAGGCUAUGAAAGAUAUGCAGAGCAAGCUGGACCACGAGCGGGUGGUGCGACAGAACAUGGAGCAGCGCUGCCUGGACAGUGAGAAGAGGAACAGUGAGCUGACAGUCGACCUGACACAGCUGCAGCAGAGGAUCACAUCAUUACAGGCCGAACUCCGCGCAGAGACAGAGAAGUGCCGGAACCUGGGCUUACAGGUUGAACAGGAGGUACAGAGAAGGAACCUCAUGCAGGGAGAUUUCAAGACACAGAACCAGGAGCUUACAAAAGCCAAGGCCAAAGAAAAACAACUGCUUAAGGAAAUUGCCGACUACCGGGAAGAUAAGAGAAACAUGGAAGAAGAUAUGAGGAAGAAGUCUGACGAUGCCUCUGUUAACGACCUUCAGUUAAAGGAAAUCAGCGAACAGCUGGAGGCUGAAAGCUACUUCUCUUCGCUGUACAAGACGCAGGUGAAGGAGCUGAAGGAAGACCUGAGUGAGAAGAAACAGCAGAUACAGGAUCUCAACAAUGACAUCCACACACUCACUGUAGAGAAGGACCAUUGCCUAGCACAGUUGCAGCUGGCCAUGACGAAGGCGGACUCGGAGCAGCUGGCACGGACCAUCGCGGAGGAGCAGCUGUCAGACGUGGAGAAGGAGAAGACCAUGUUGGAGCUGGAGAUCAAGGAGCUUAUGUCCAGACACAAGUCCGAGCUCAACAAGAAGGAGUUUAGUCUCAACCAGAUCGAGGAGUCCAAGAGGGAUUAUGCUAACAACAUUGAGAAGCUGAAGCAGGAAAAUGAUGAUCUUAACAUGAGGAUCAAGAAACUUUCAGAUGAGGCUCAAAAUUCCAAGCAGUCAGAAUGGGAGAAGAUGAAGAAACAGCUGGAUGAAGAAAGGAUGAAGAAAAUCCAGGCUGUCAACAAGCUGGCCGAAAUCAUGAACCGCAAGGAGUACCAGCCCCACAAGUCCAGCAAGGCCAGUGCGGCAGACCUCAAGAAGAAGGAGAAGGAGCUGAGGAAACUACAGCAGGAGCUCACCAUGGAGAAGGAGAAGUACAACCAGAUGGUGGCCAAGAUGCAGCGUGACAUCUCCGACUCCCAGCAGAUCGUGUACGAGGAGAGCCAGAUCCGCCAGAAACUCACCAUGGAGAUGGAUGCCAAGGAUUCAGAGAUCGAAAUGCUUCGGCAGAAACUCUCCGUUACCAACAUGGACUCCGCAUCUGUCAACAGUGGUAGCAUGGAAGAUACAGUGUUGGAGGAAAAUCAAGACUCUCAUAUGGAGGGCUGGUUGGCAGUCCCAAGUCGCUCCAACAUCAAGAAGUAUGGGUGGAAGAAGAGUUACGUUGUCAUCAGCAGCAGAAAAGUCCUCUUCUAUAACAGUGAAGCCGACAAAAUGAAUUCCGCGCCAUCUGUAAUAUUAGAUAUAGACAAAUUAUUCCAUGUGCGGCCAGUGACCCAGGGCGAUGUUUAUAGGGCCGAUGCCAAAGAUGUUCCAAGAAUAUUCCAGAUCCUGUAUGCAACUGAGGGGGAGAGUGCUAUCAGGAAGCCGGAGGAGGACCAGAGCCAGGACAGAGCUGGUGUUCUCUGUUACAAGGGCCAUGACUUCAUCCCCCUACACUUCCGCACGCCGACAACGUGUGACUCCUGCAACAAGCCGGUGUGGCAUAUGCUGCACCCACCCCCUGCGCUGGAGUGCAAGAGAUGUCAUGUAAAAGUCCACAAGGAUCAUUUUGACAAGAAUGAAGAGUUCAUUGCAUAUUGUAAAGUCACGUAUGAUUCCAGUAUACAGGCAAAGGAGAUGAUACUGUUAGCAGAAUCCUCAGAGAAGCAGAAACUCUGGGUGCAACACCUCAGUAAAAAGGUCUCCAAAAAGGGUAUUGUCAGUUCAGGAAAUUUAGGGACAUUACGAGGCACAAAGCAGUAUUCCUCCUAUGGACCCCAGCAGCGUGGCCACGCCAUGGCCAGCAAGUCUGCCACACUACCAGCCAACCCUCGGUCAUGAGGACUCGACCCAACAUUGUCUAGCUUGUCCCAACCCUCGGUCAUGAGGACUCGACCCAACAUUGCCUAGCUUGUCCCAACCCUGUCAUGCAGGGUCUUAUCAAAGAAGUCUAACCCCGGCCAACUUUUGCCUCCUGGUGGCUGUUGGCACCGUAUCAUAUCACUAACCUGCCUGACCCACAGGAUCCCCAGGGAUGGAACCAACCUUACGUCAUGAGCAACUUCAGUAUCUCAGUUUGGGGCAGAACAGGAAGCCCAAUUGCAGUCUACAUAUAUAGUCCUUAGUUGGUACUAGCACUAGGGAGGGGGGUCUGCUGGUUAGUAGAGUGGUGAGAAUGUACCAUGCAGACCCUACACUGACCAACACCUGUACUCUCAUGCAUAUCUCAAGCCAACACUAACCAAUGAAGGAGAUCUGCUGCACUGACACAAGGUCUGACAACAGAAAACCACAUCCACAUGCUUCACUCCCAGCAUGAUGAAACCAGGUGAUUACUUAGAUAGUUGCCACUUAAACAUGGAGGCACAAUGUUGUUGUGAUCGAAUACUUGACUUUUUAUGGCUUAUUUCUUUUGUUGAAAUAUGUAAUCUCUACCAUGGUGUACAGUGUGUCUUAAUGGACAAUGUCCACUACCUCUGCAAAGUUGUGCUUCGUGCUGGGAAGUUGGACGCAUCAAUGUAGCAUUGAUUAUCAGCAUACAAGAACAGACAGGCUGUGACACACAAUCUACACCAGCUGCCGACUACAUUAACCAUUAAUAUGGAAGUUCUCAUAAUUAUUCCCAAUCACACUUCACUUUUGCCAAGCUUUUAUAUUUAAGAAAUCGUACUAUUUAUAUGCAACUGAUCUUUGUGCAGCUACUAUGAUUAUGCAAUGUGGGAUUGUAAAUGUUGUGUUUCAUACAUAUCUUACUUGUUCAGGGCUGAGUAUGGUGGUUCUACAACACAAAAUGUGACAGAGGACACCACGGAGGCACCUCUAGCUCCUGUUAGAAACGCGUGUGGAGUGGUGCAUUGUGUUGUCUUCAUUGCCAAAUUCUGAAAAGAUUCUUUCAGUGCAAUAUGAGAGUAACAUAGCCAUUGGUGUUCAGUAUGCACCAGGGCAGCAGAGUUUGCCAUCUGGAGGGAGGCACGGGACAGACAUAGCUCUCCACUCUUGGAGUGAGAAUAGGCUAUGUAAAAGCAUUUACCAACACAGCCAAAGAUUUUAUGAGCAUUUCUGUGGCUUUUAUACAGGACCCUUGGAAGUUGAUAGUUAAUGGACUCCUUGUUCAAAAUAGUAAGUUCUUCUGUAGUGUCAGGUUGGCAGGUCUGGCAAUGGUAGCUUGUUGGAAUCAAAAUACUCGCAUGUAGUGGUCAUUGCAGGAACUACAUUGUGUUUAAUAGCUUUGUAUGCUGCACAAACAUCUCUAUGCCUAGUGUAUGUCAGCUUUUGACAAUAAAACUGAAGAAUUCUUCUCCAGGUCUCAAUGUAUCGGAUUAAGUGCCUAAUUAUGUAAAUGCCUAGUGCUGGAGGAUGGCUAGUUUUUACAGUGUACCUCCUAAAUACCCAGAAUACCAACCAUGAUGAAAUCCACCUUGGUCUUGUGGGUUGUCUCCAGUGAUGAAUAUGUUGUCAAUCCUGCUGAUGUUGAAUGUUUGACUGGCUUUGAGUUUGUCAUCCUGUCUAUGUGGGCACAGGCUGGUUGUGUUGGAUGACACAGGGACAGUUGGGCAUGGGAGCGUGGGUAGGCUGGUCGAGAUGGGAUGUGAGGGGGGUGGGGUGGGGAGGACCGGGAUGAGGGGAAGGAGGGGCCUGAGAUGGGAGAAAAAGGGAAAGUGAAGAGCUUAUUGGUGCUAUAACCUGGAUUAUAUGGUAUGAUCACUUUGUUUAUCUAGAAAAGACCUAGAUAUCUUCUCAAGGUAUCCAAGUUGAGUGUGAUAUUUUGAUAAUUUGUUGGUGAUUGUUAUCUUUAUCUGUCAGAGCUUAUUUUUCUCUGUUUGGCAUGUACUAUUUCUCCACUGAGCUUUGUGCAGCCAUGUUGUUUGUGAGAAGUGUUGACACACACACCUUCACCUCAUGAUGACCAUAAUACCCACACAGCUGGCAUUCUUCCUGUGUACACCUGCUUGUGCUUCUCACCACGUUAACCUGCUGCCUGGAUCUUCUUAUGGAGGGAACAUGUCUGUGAGGGAAGCUUCACCUCCCACCACGUUAACCUGCUGCCUGGAUCUUCUUAUGGACGGAACAUGUCUGUGAGGGAAGCUUCACUUCCCACCACGUUAACCUGCCGCCUGGAUCUUCUUAUGGUGGGAACAUGUCUGCGAGGGAAGCUUCACCUCUCACCAUGUUAACCUGCCGCCUGGAACAUCUUAUGGAGGGAACAUGUCUGUGAGGGAAGCUUCACCUCUCACCACGUUAACCUGCCACCUGGAUCUUCUUAUGGUGGGAACAUGUCUGUGAGGGAAGCUUCACUUUCACCACGUUAACCUGCUGCCUGGAACAUCUUAUGGAGGGAACAUGUCUGUGAGGGAAGCUUCACCUCUCAUCACGUUAACCUGCUGCCUGGAUCUUAUGGAGGGAACAUGUCUGUGAGGGAAGCUUCACGCCCCACCACGUUAACCUGCCGCCUGGAUCUUCUUAUGGAGGGAACAUGUCUGUGAGGGAAGCUUCACGCCCCACCACGUUAACCUGCCGCCUGGAUCUUCUUAUGGAGGGAACAUGUCUGUGAGGGAAGCUUCACCUCCCACCACGUUAACCUGCCGCCUGGAUCUUCUUAUGGAGGGAACAUGUUUGUGAGGGAAGCUUCACCUCUCAUCACGUUAACCUGCUGCCUGGAUCUUCUUAUGGUGGGAACAUGUCUGUGAGGGAAGCUUCACUUUCACCACGUUAACCUGCUGCCUGGAACAUCUUAUGGAGGGAACAUGUCUGUGAGGGAAGCUUCACCUCUCAUCACGUUAACCUGCUGCCUGGAUCUUCUUAUGGAGGGAACAUGUCUGUGAGGGAAGCUUCACGUCCCACCACGUUAACCUGCCGCCUGGAUCUUCUUAUGGAGGGAACAUGUCUGUGAGGGAAGCUUCACCUCCCACCACGUUAACCUGCCGCCUGGAUCUUCUUAUGGAGGGAACAUGUUUGUGAGGGAAGCUUCACCUCUCAUCACGUUAACCUGCUGCCUGGAUCUUCAUAUGGAGGGAACAUGUCUGUGAGGGAAGCUUCACCUCUCACCAUGUUAACCUGCCGCCUGGAUCUUCUUAUGGAGGGAACAUGUCUGUGAGGGAAGCUUCACCUCCCACCACGUUAACCUGCUGCCUGGAUCUUAUGGAGGGAACAUGUCUGUGAGGGAAGCUUUACAUCAGUUGGGAGGGAUGCAAUGUCCUCUAUCUCCUGGAAAUGUCUUGUUCUGUUAAGGGGCCAGUGCAUUAAUAGAUAACUUUAUAUAAGAGUAAAAAUUAAUGUUCAGUGCGGUUUCAGUGAUCUUGGUAAAAUUCCUGGGUCCACUGACACAAUGUAAUAUUUUCUUCUCUGAGGCGCAAUUAGAAGUUGGAGUUCUAUGUAAGGAUAAGAUAUAUGGAUGAACAACUUCUUUAUUACAAUUAGGAGUGACAUUUCUGUUGUAGGUUCUAACACCAUUAUCAAGCAAGUGAUGUACAAAGUAUGGUUGACAAGCAUAUGUAUAGGUAUGAGGCAGUGUUUAUGCAGUUGAGUAGAUUGGGAUGUGGUUACACUGGAGUCGAGAAGCCUGUUAUGUACACAAAAGAGGUGAUAGAAGGUAAUAAAGAAGUUGUUAUCCAUACAUGUUAUCCUUACUUACAAGGUAAUAUUACAUGUUCACAGUGACACAUGGUAAUAUUACUGGGUUCACAGUGACACAUGGUAAUAUAACUGGGUUCACAGUGACACAAGGUAAUAUUACUGGGUUCACAGUGACACAUGGUAAUAUUACUGGGUUCACAGUGACACAAGGUAAUAUUACUGGGUUCACAGUGACACAUGGUAAUAUUACUGGGUUCACAGUGACACAUGGUAAUAUUAUUGGGUUCACAGUGACACAAGGUAAUAUUACUGGGUUCACAGUGACACAUGGUAAUAUUACUGGGUUCACAGUGACACAUGGUAAUAUUACUGGGUUAGUGACAUGGUAAUAUUACAUGUUCACAGUGACACAUGGUAAUAUUUCUGGGUUCACAGUGACACAAGGUAAUAUUACUGGGUUCACAGUGACAAAAGGUAAUAUUACUAGGUUCACAGUGACACAAGGCAAUAUUAUUGGGUUCACAGUGACACAAGGUAAUAUUACUGGGUUCACAGUGACACAUGGUAAUAUUACAUGUUCACAGUGACACAUGGUAAUAUUACAUGUUCACAGUGAUACAAGGUAAUAUUACUGGGUUCACAGUGACACAUGGUAAUAUUACUGGGUUCACAGUGACACAAGGUAAUAUUACAUGUUCACAGUGACCCAUGGUAAUAUUAUUGUGUUCACAGUGACAAAUGGUAAUAUUACUGGGUUCACAGUGACACAUGGUAAUAUUACUGGGUUCACAAUGACACAAGGUAAUAUUACUGGGUUCACAGUGACACAUGGUAAUAUUGCUGGGUUCACAGUGACAGUAAUAUUACAUGUUCAUAGUGACACAUGGUAAUAUUACUUGGUUCACAGUGACACAAGGUAAUAUUACAUGUUCACAGAGACACAAGGUAAUAUUACAUGUUCACAAUGACACAUGGUAAUAUUACUGGGUUCACAGUGACACAUGGUAAUAUUACGCGGUUCACAGUGACACGGUAAUAUGACUGGGUUCACAGUGACAGAAGGUAAUAUUACUGGGUUCACAGUGACACAAGGUAAUAUUACUGGGUUCACAGUGACACAUGGUAAUAUUACUGGGUUCACAGUGACACAUGGUAAUAUUACUGGGUUCACAGUGACACAAGGUAAUAUAACUUGGUUCACAGUGACACAUGCCAAAAUUACAUGUUCACAGUGACACAAGGUAAUAUUACAUGUUCACGGUGACACAGGGUAAUAUUACUGGGUUCACAGUGACACAUGGUAAUAUUACUGGGUUCACAGUGACACAAGGUAAUAUUACUUGGUUCACAGUGACACAAGGUAAUAUUACUGGGUUCACAGUGACACAAGGUAAUAUUACUGGGUUCACAGUGACACAAGGUAAUAUUACAUGUUCACAGUGACACAAGGUAAUAUUACAUGUUCACAGUGACACAGGGUCAUAUUACUGGGUUCACAGUGACACAUGGUAAUAUUACUGGGUUCACAGUGACACAGGGUAAUAUUACUGGGUUCACAGUGACACAUGGUAAUAUUACUGGGUUCACAGUGACACAGGUAAUAUUACUGGGUUCACAGUGACACAAGGUAAUAUUGCUAUGUAAGCUGUGGUUUAGCGAGACAUUCCAGGCAUGUCGAGUGCUGUGGCCUGUCCACUCUUACACACAGAAGGCACUGCAGCCAUGUUUAUUAACUAGUUCAAUUCUGAGUUUUUAUAACAUCUUAUAUAAAUCAAAAGAGCAAGUCAUGCAGGCUCCAUUGAUAGAGGAUGUCAGGUGUGCUCCUGUUAGUCAACUAUAGAAAUGGUCCAGCACUGUGACAGGCUGUGAGCUUGUACACUUCCUAGAUGACACAUAGUAGCCAUCGUGCCUUCACUGGAUUGGUAACAUGGGAGUCUCCUUUGUCGUUGAGCUGCCCAGAUAAGUAUUAGUCUGCAUCCAGAAAUACUCAGAAUUUCUGCUGUUAGCUAUUGGUGAGAUCAGACAUAGCCCAAUCAUUGUAGCCAACAUAUACAUAUACAUAUACAUACAUACAUACAUAUAUAUAUAUAUAUAUAAGUGGUACCUGUGGUUGUGAGUAGCCCUAGUAACAGAAUAUUAUUGACCCGGCAAAUAUAAGUAUGUAACAGGUUCUACCUUCAAUAUGAUCUGUAUAUUUCUGAAAUUAUAUCAAAUAAUCUCACUUCUAUAUUCGUUCCAUAAGGACAGACAUCAUAUGUAAAUCUGUGUUUAAAGAUUUGACAAAUUUUAUUUUCAACAUUGGUAUAUAUUGUAAAUACUUUGCUUCGUUGUGUAUCUGCAUGCAUUACUGAUUGUAAAUAUUGAAGUUUGUGUAUAUGCAAUAAUGUGUUCAGAUACAAGCUGUGUGGCAGGCUGGCUCAUGCACUGUUGUCAGCUGUGUGCUUCUACCACACGUCUGGGAGAUACGUCUACACUGAAUCCUACUGAACUCACUUCCAGGAAUUUUUAGAACUGGUUAAGGUCUUCCAUGUAUUAGAGCAAACUAAUGAUCAAAAUCAUUUAUUUGUUGUUGAAUAUUGAUUUAGUACCCUUAGUCCCUGAAAUCUGGUAAGUGGAACAACACCGUGAUAGUAGCAUGGACAGUUUGUUAUUUGUUAUACAAUGUUUAUGAACAAGUUCUAUAGCCAUGGCUGCUUCAGUGCUGCAGGAUAUGUUGUGUAGCUUCAUGUAUCAGUGGAGCAAGAGCGCAACUUGCAACUCUCAUAAUGUGACAGUGCCAGGAUCUCACCAUGUGAUUUUGUUUAGUAUUGUGUAUGUUAGUCUGCUGCUGCUGUCUGCUGUCUGCAUAGUAGAGCAGUCUAUAACUGCCUGAGCUUGCAUCUCUGGGUGGAGUAUGCCCCUAUCUUCAAUACCAACCAGGAACCACUAAGCUAGAAUUAUUGAAUCAUGGUAUUAUAGUCAGAUUUGGGCUGACCAUUGGGUGCCACAGCGGCUGUCUGUGUGUGUGUGCAUGUUGUAGCAGGGGGAAGCAGCCUGUGUGACUGCUGUGUAUACACAUGUAGGAUGUACAGACUCCUCAUCACUCUGUGCUAGCAGCAGGAGGGGGAACCCACUGCUUCAUUAAUCCUAACCUAGUUGGCUGUAUUCAACUACUAGCUCCAUUUGCUAUUUUUCAUAAACUUUAAAUUCAUGUAUGUGUUCAGGAAAGCCUUGUGUAACAUGAUGACACCUCCUGUUGCAUGUCAAACUCCCACAAUGGUAAUAAUAAAAUUAUCAAAGAUAA
rnacentral:misc_RNA from 1 species